ensembl:rRNA 5S_rRNA 5S ribosomal RNA
GUUUACGGCCAUACCACUCUGACAAAGCCUGAUCUCAUCUGAUCUCGGAAGCAAAGCAGAGUUGGGCCUGGUUAUUACUUGGUUGGGAGACUGAAUGGGAAUACUAGGUGAUGUAAGCU